UCAAAGCUCUGCCACUUCAACUGUGGGAGAGGAAGGACCCCCCCCGUACUCUCUCCAGCGGGCUCAGCCAUUGACAAGGCUGAGAGUUAUUCAAUUUCUGGUGUGUCCAGGACCGACUACCACCAUUGAUGUUUUCCUUAUGCAUCCGGAAGGGAAAAUGGGGUUCCUUCGUCUAUGUGGCAGGAGAGAACUUGGCUUUACAGGUGCAGUAUCAGCUGUACUCCAUAGUCAUGUCUCUUACCAGAAGUCAAAUCUGAUGGCGUUAUCAUUUCUGGGUCACUGGUAUAAGCUGCACAGAGUCUGGGCUGUGGACCCUCAUCUGCAGAAGCUGGGAACACACCUCUGCCUAGGGAGGGUCAGGACUGUAGCCCUGAGGAGGUGGACAUGGGGGUCGUGCCCUACUCAGAAGGGGAAGAGCUUUCGUUCCGUGGAGAUGUGCCCUUCCCUGUCCACAGGCUCUGGCAUCAACGGAGGAGUGGAAACAAGACCAGCUUGUGGACGUGUUUCUGACAAAAUUAAACCUGGUUUGACAUCAAAGGAGGGUCUGGGGAGCGUCAGUCUGAGAGAUUUCCGUUUUUAUCAACAUUCUCUCCAAACUUCCUCCAUUUUCAGCAGCCUGCCAAUUCCCUUGAAAACACGGCCCUGACCCUGAAAAGGCCUCGGGAAGCCCGCUGAACAUGAAAACCAUAAAAGUAGGGGUUUGAACUUCACAAAAAUAACAGCUGGGGAGAGUCGAAUGGAAAAGGGCUUGGAAGUCUAGGAAAAGAACACGUUUGUGAACUUGCACACACACCUGCGAAACGCCAUUUGGACCACAUCCGUCAUCAUCUAAUUAAAAAUGUACAAGCCUGAAACUUUUCUUUUUUGCUGGCCCCAGCCUGAGACACUUUUGAAAAGAAGAAAAGUGCAGUCCUGUGGUCGGAGAGGAGAUGACGAUCGGGGGCUGUCCCUGUGUUCCCCACGCGUGGCGUCUCUCCCCUCUGCCCCCACCCCGCCCUCUUCCCUCUCCCCCUACCCCUAGCGUGCCCCUGAACCAGUCAUUUACAGGAGAUGGCUGUCGUGGUGCAUAAAGAAAUAAUUUAAA